rnacentral:rRNA from 1 species
AUGGAGUUGGGAACAAGAAGUCGCCGGCGUUCCCCGGAGCCAGGCCCAGGCCGCGGAGCGGACUACCUCAGCGCCCUCCCCGACGAUCUUCUGCUCCUGGUCCUCGCCCGCCUCGGCUGCGCCGCCGCCGCCGCGCGCACCGGCCUCCUCGCCCGCCGGUGGCGCGGCCUCUGGGCCCGCCUCCGCGACCUCGCCUUCCGGGACGUCGCGUUCCCGUCGCUCCAGGUGGCGCUCGGCCGCGUCGCCGUCCCUCCGCCAGCGGUCUCUCUCCUCGAGAUCCGCGUCCCCGGCAAGAUCAGGCCUGCCGCCGACGCCGUCACCUCACUGCUGCGCGCCGCCGCGCGGCUCGCGCCGGAGAAACUUGUCUUCGGCCUUACGGGACAUCUUCCGCUCCAAGAUCCGAAUCCCGCGGGCGUCGACCUGCCGUGCUUCCACCGCGCCACCUCGAUUGUGCUGGAGUGGAUCCCCUUCGUCCUCCGCGCACCGGCCGCCGGGGGCGAGUUCCCCGCCCUCCUGAAGCUGUCCCUCACGGGCUGCAAAGUCGACGACCUCGGCACCUUGCUCUCCCUCUGCCCACGCCUGCGCGUUCUCAGGCUCAAGAGCCUAAUUUGGCUCGGUGGCGACGACUUGACGACAGUCCACUCGGCGUCGCUGCAGGAGCUUGUCAUGGAGAGCAUCUGGACACACCGAGUCGAUAUCGUUGCUCCCAUCCUGAAGCAAUUGACGCUGUCCUCAUGGGCCGAAGCGCAGGUGAGCAUCUCCAUCUUGGCACCAAUGAUCCAGAAUGUCUCGUGGCAGUGGCUCUAUGACAAUGGAACUAUUGGGUUUGGUCUUUGGACCCUCGAGAAGCUGAGGCUACAGACGGCACAGAGACAGGGACAACUCCCUUCGCUGCUCAUUCAUGCCUCCAGUAGCUGGUAUAGUUUUACCGAUGAAGCCGCAAACUUUGCACAAGAGAUAGAGAAGCAUAUGGUUACUGACUUCUUUGCUUUGGAGCUACAUCUGAGAACAACAGGUCAUGUUUUUGGAGAAUUUGUGUUGCAUUUUCUUGGAUUGAAUCGGAUCCGCAGUGUUAUACGAAGACUUAAGGUCGUCCGAGUCCGACAGGGAUCAUGGGGGGAUGAAGCAUGCCCUGCAAAUUGUCCUUGUGACACUAUGAACUGGAGGACCCAAACUAUCUCCUUGACUGCCCUUGAAGAUUUAGAAAUCAAUGGCUUCGAAGCAGAGGAUCAUGAACUUGAUUUCUUGAAACUGAUACUCCAUUCUGCGCCAAUGCUUAAAACAGUGAUUGUGAAGUUGUCAGAUGAGAUCUCGUCAAGUGAUGAUACAAUCACGAAAAAAUGCAACAUCUUCAGAGCGUACCCUUCUGUGAAAUGUAAUGUUUAUCUGAGCUCUGGGUUAAUGCAUCAGAGCCAAAAUUGCCUGCUGACAUGA